AAAAAUAUGACUCAUUUUCCUGCUCCUCCUGUUGUCUAUUAUAUUUCAGUGGAAUUCCAGAAUCCCACAUGUUUGCCUCUGCCUCUGCCUGAGAGCUCCAGCUACUGCCUGGGUUAUGUAAACUAGAGACAUAUGGCUGAGAUGGUAAUUCUUACAUAGUUCUUUUUCUCCUGGUGAGUAACAAACUUCAAAUUACCACCCACAGUCAGUGUUAUUUUUCUUUUAUUUGCUGUUCUAAACCUUUUCCUUGCCACAGGUUUUGGGAACUCUUUUCUUCAUUGUCUCAAAUCAAGAGAAUUAGGAGGAAGAAUGGGGUCGUGAGAUGUUCCUCCACAAGACAGGAACAAUGCCUGGGGGAGGAAAGUGGCUCAGUUGGAACUUGCAAACAGAGAGGCGGAGAAUUCUGCAGAUGCUGUGGCAGUUCGAACUCCUGGAGAGCCCUUCCUGGCCCAACCUAGCUGGGACGUAGACACUGUGGGAAGCAGAAGAGGAUCAGCCAAUGGCAGAGAACCUGGACAAAGAAAAGGAUGCCAACCAACUGAGGAUAGAGACGUUUCCCUUGGCUCCUCCCGGCAAAGGAUUUUUCAGGUUUCCUGGUGAGGAGGGAGUGGAAGUUAUGACAUAAUCACACUCUAUAUUCUUUGUAGUUUGUUGUAGGCAUGGUAAUGAUUAAGUCAUCCUUUCGGUGAACUGUAUAUACUGGAUUCUUUUCUUGAGAUGGAGUCUCACUCUAUCACCCAGGCUGGAGUGCAGUGGUGCGGUCAGG
rnacentral:lncRNA from 1 species